AUGGACACUUAGCUUGAGUAGAGCUUGCAGGACUAGAAGUUUCUCUGGGUGAGUCAGUGAGUGAGUGGUGGGUGAAUGUGAAGGCCUAGGAUAUUACCAUACACUAUUGUAGAC